UACGGGGGGGGCAAGCGUUGUUCGGAAUUACUGGGCGUAAAGGCUCGUAGGCGGCCAACUAAGUCAGACGUGAAAUCCCCUCGGCUUAACCGGGGAACUGCGUCUGAUACUGGAUGGCUUGAGUUUGGGAGAGGGAUGCGGAAUUCCAGGUGUAGCGGUGAAAUGCGUAGAUAUCUGGAGGAACACCGGUGGCGAAGGCGGCAUCCUGGACCAAUACUGACACUGAGGAGCGAAAGCCAGGGAG
rnacentral:rRNA from 1 species